AUACGUAGGGAGCGAGCGUUGUCCGGAAUUACUGGGCGUAAAGGGCGCGUAGGCGGCGCUUCAGGUCGUCUGUCAAAUGGGAGGGCUUAACCCUUUUUCGCAGACGAAACUGGAGAGCUUGAGAAGCAGAGAGGCAAACAGAAUUCCUGGUGUAGCGGUGAAAUGCGUAGAUAUCAGGAAGAAUACCAGUGGCGAAGGCGGUUUGCUGGCUGCAUACUGACGCUGAAGCGCGAAAGCCAGGGGAGCAAACGGGAUUAGAUACCCCGGUAGUCCUGGCAGUAAACGAUGUAUGCUGGGUGUGAGACUAGCGAUAGUUUCGUGCCGAAGUUAACGCGAUAAGCAUACCGCCUGGGGAGUACGGUCGCAAGAUUGAAACUCAAAGGAAUUGACGGGG
rnacentral:rRNA from 1 species